UACGAAGGGGGCUAGCGUUGCUCGGAAUGACUGGGCGUAAAGGGCGCGUAGGCGGAUUGUUUAGUUAGGUGUGAAAUUCCUGGGCUUAACCUGGGAACUGCAUUUAAUACAGGCAGUCUAGAGUGAGGAAGAGGGUUGUGGAAUUCCCAGUGUAGAGGUGAAAUUCGUAGAUAUUGGGAAGAACACCGGUGGCGAAGGCGGCAACCUGGUCCUUGACUGACGCUGAGGCGCGAAAGCGUGGGGAGCAAACAGG
rnacentral:rRNA from 1 species